rnacentral:sRNA from 1 species
ACGCGCCUGCCCACCGGGAGCCGGGCUUCCCUCUUGCUGCUUGGCGCGCGAGCUCUGGACGCACGUGUGUCCGCGCAGUGCGCUGUGUCUGUGAGGGCCAGUGUACUCUGAGACGUGCGACCGUCAAGGCUGCGGAUGAAGCUGCAGCUGCCAGUGUUGAGGUCAGGCUCUCCUCUGCAGGAACCUCCAGCGUUUAGGCUUUUCAAUUGUGUUUGAUCUUCUACAAGUGAGGUCACGAGUGUGAUGGGCCUGUUCUCAACUUGAGAAAUUCUUCAGCCUGGAGCUGUGUGCCCUAACAAGCUCAGUCUGUAUAUUAUUGUUUGAGUGCCUGGAAUGCACACCUGGGACCUCUCAACUGGUGCCCACUGUUUAAGAAAGUAAACAGAAGUUGUCAAGGAGGAACACGGUAAGUAAAGCACUCCUCUAAAGGAACAAAGACGUUGUGACCUACUGAACCUAGGACAAGUAUCAGCUGAUCCCCUCUCCUGCAACAGCCCUGCUUUGUUGAACUCAUUUCAGACACUUCCUCUAAACCUUCUCACCAUUUUCUCAAUGAAAAUAUGAGAAUUUGCCUUUCCCUCUCUGUGUUAGGGAAUGACUUGGGGUAUUUCGAUGGUAGUACCUGUGAAGAGUUCAAGAAUUAGUAACAGGAUAGUUGGGUCACAUACUACACUCUCUCGUCUACUUCACAAUGCCAGUGGAGUAAGUUUUCUCUUCAGGUCACAAGCCAGGGUCUUAGAAGGCGUCUCAGAGAGUGCGUUCCUGCUGUUUCCUAGGCUGAGAGCCUUCUGCACACAGGUGAGUACUGAGACCUCUCACUAGGUAGUUGAUAAUCAGAUUAAAACCUAAAGGAGAGUAAGGGAAAGGGAGUCUUUCCUUUGUAGAAUUGUCUCUCUCAGAACCAGAGCUGUCCUUUCCAGCUUAUCUGUCUAAAAGAAAGACUGAAGGGGAAAAAAAAAAUCUCUGUUUAUACUGAGCCAAAUCACCAAAGAGAAUUAGAAACCCUCAUCCAUGGUAGUGCUGUGGAGUGCCAGGAAUAGUGCUUUACCCUAGUGGCCUAAAAUAAUUAGGCAUUUUGCUCAGCAUCCAGUCCUGGACUGGGGAUUGAUUUAGGCCACUGGGAAAAUGAGGAUCCAGGGUUUUGCAGCUGAGCUGCAACUCCUUUUCUCAGUCACAGGAAACAGCAGCGUUGGGGGCUCACACAGAUCAUUAAGUCCCACCUGCGCUGAGGGUUGGGUCUGAUAGGAAAAGAAGUAGAGUUGCUCAAACUGAUACUUCUUUUCUUUUCCUUUUAACUGGCUUCCUUCCCAGAAUAAGCAUUUAUGCUUUGGUUUCUGUUGCGUUUUAAUUUGUCACCUACUUCUAGUGUAGGAUCCCAGUGGUCUUUAAGAGCUUUUUUGUUUUUUCUUGAAGUAUUCAUUUUCUUCCCCAAUUCUCCAAAAAUGAGGACUUUCAUGGAGUACACUAAACAUCACAAUUUUCUGGCUUCUGCAAUAGCUACAUAGUUUUUCAUGGUACAGGGAAAAUAAUGGUAAAUCUGCACCCAUUUGGGCAGGGUAUGGUUUGAGUAGGGUAACAGAUGCAGCUGUUUACUUAAUCUGCUUUUCUGCCCAGUCUUCCUUGGGAAGAAUCUUAAGUAAAAUCGAGAACCUUGUGGUAGAUAUGAGCUGUUUAAUUUCAACAAAACUUACUCCCAAACUUACUGCCACCUACUCGCAUGGAAGAAAGUUAGUAUUGAACUUUUACUGUCUCCUGAACAAUUUUUCAACCAAUUAAGGGCGUGAGCCAUGUUUCCAUUUACCUCAUGCCACCAGAAAGAAAUGCCUCCACAUCCCGGACAUGUGUACAUGUGUAAAGAUCAGGGUUUGGUGGCCAUGGUAGGAGAACAGAGGUCAGAGGAAGAGGUGCAGAGCCAGCAGAUCCUAGCGGUGGAAUCCUGUUGCAGUUUUAGAGUCAGGGUUAGUAAUGUCCUUAUGUUCCCUCUCUCUCUGAACCUUUGCCCUGGAUAAGGGGGAGUUGAAUUUAGCUUUAAGACUGGAUUAGUAAGAAGAGAAUGUGAACGUUGGUGUGACAGGUGGGAGGUCAGUGAAGCCCAGGGGCCAACAAUUACCACUCUUAGCAGCCUCUUUUCCUCUGUGUACAAAGCCUGGCCCUUACAAGUUUCUCUUCUAAAACAUCAUUUAUAAUAAACAGUAAGCUGCUGCAGUGUAUGUCCAGUUCAUAUGUUGGUAAGGAUGUUUUGCUUACAAUUGAGUGAUGUGAUUAUUUUUUAUUUAGUGAUUUGAUUUCAUCAAAAUUACUGAGAGUUUUAAUAAAAAAUUUAUAGAUGACAAAA